rnacentral:rRNA from 1 species
GAUGAACGCUAGCGGCAGGCUUAACACAUGCAAGUCGAGGGGUAUAGGUUUUCGGACCUAGAGACCGGCGCACGGGUGCGUAACGCGUAUGCAAUCUACCUUUCACAGAGGGAUAGCCCAGAGAAAUUUGGAUUAAUACCUCAUAGUAUAGCGGUUUCGCAUGAAAACACUAUUAAAGUUCCAACGGUGAAAGAUGAGCAUGCGUCCCAUUAGCUAGAUGGUAAGGUAACGGCUUACCAUGGCUACGAUGGGUAGGGGUCCUGAGAGGGAGAUCCCCCACACUGGUACUGAGACACGGACCAGACUCCUACGGGAGGCAGCAGUGAGGAAUAUUGGUCAAUGGACGCAAGUCUGAACCAGCCAUGCCGCGUGCAGGAUGACGGUCCUAUGGAUUGUAAACUGCUUUUGUACGAGAAGAAACAACAUUACGUGUAAUGUCUUGACGGUAUCGUAAGAAUAAGGAUCGGCUAACUCCGUGCCAGCAGCCGCCGUAAUAC